GUUAGUGACUCAGGCUCUGCCGAACGCUGGUUGUCCCGGAACUGAAAGGUAAUGAGCAGUCCCCAUACCUGACCCUACGGCCCUGGGAGCCCCUCGGGAUAUUACCCUCUCCUCAUCCUGUGUAGUUGCCUGUUUAGUGUGGGUGGGGCAGUUUUCUGCAUCUGUGGUGAGAGAAUUCAGCACCAGAGGAAAGUUAAAGCUGCAGCAGGCAACCUGCAGAUCUGAGAUCUGGAAACAUUGCUCCGGUGCGAGCGGUUGUGGUCUCUCGCUUCCUCUUCCAGUUUGGUAGAAAGAGAACAGAAGACUUGGAGUUGCUGCGUGGCUUGAAGACGCCUUUUUUUUUUUUUUUAAUUUAAUGAGCUAGUUGCUGAAGUAAAUGUUGCAAUUUGCAGUUAACCCUGGUCACCUGCCCCAGGCUUUCUGAGUCGAGGUUUUCCACUGCUUAUGUGCCACCUCUCCCGCGUUCAAAGGUCUCUUUCGCUCCGAGACCCGUCCGUGCAGCAAGGGAAUUCCUCGUCCCUCCAGCAGCACCGAUGCCUGGGAGGCCUCCCCAGAUGAGAGGCUGAUGAAGGGGCUGAAUUACAGAGAGAGGCCGCUCUGGCGUCGCUAAGGAGUUUGGAUUCAGACAAGCCCGCUCCUGUGUGAAUCCUGAUCCUGCCAGUACCGGAACUCGAACUCAGAUCCUUCUGCUUGCAAAGCAGGCGGCGGAACCACUGAGCUAAAUCCCCGGCGAGAUCCUUUUAAAUUGAUGAGAAGGAAGAUGGCAGAGGAACCAGAAAACAAUACAGAGGGAUCGCUGAAAACAUAGCAGCUGA
rnacentral:lncRNA from 1 species